rnacentral:rRNA from 1 species
UACGUAGGGCGCAAGCGUUAUCCGGAAUUAUUGGGCGUAAAGAGCUCGUAGGCGGUUUGUCGCGUCUGCCGUGAAAGUCCGGGGCUCAACUCCGGAUCUGCGGUGGGUACGGGCAGACUAGAGUGGUGUAGGGGAGACUGGAAUUCCUGGUGUAGCGGUGAAAUGCGCAGAUAUCAGGAGGAACACCGGUGGCGAAGGCGGAUCUCUGGGCCAUUACUGACGCUGAGGAGCGAAAGCGUGGGGAGCGAACAGG